rnacentral:rRNA from 1 species
CGUAACAAGGUCUCCGUAGGUGAACCUGCGGUGGGAUCAUCACACAAAUAUGAAGGCGGGCUGGAACCUCUCGGGGUUACAGCCUUGCUGAAUUAUUCACCCUUGUCUUUUGCGUACUUCUUGUUUCCUUGGUGGGUUCGCCCACCACUAGGACAAACAUAAACCUUUUGUAAUUGCAAUCAGCGUCAGUAACAAAUUAAUAAUUACAACUUUCAACAACGGAUCUCUUGGUUCUGGCAUCGAUGAAGAACGCAGCGAAAUGCGAUAAGUAGUGUGAAUUGCAGAAUUCAGUGAAUCAUCGAAUCUUUGAACGCACAUUGCGCCCUUUGGUAUUCCAAAGGGCAUGCCUGUUCGAGCGUCAUUUGUACCCUCAAGCUUUGCUUGGUGUUGGGCGUCUUGUCUCUAGCUUUGCUGGAGACUCGCCUUAAAGUAAUUGGCAGCCGGCCUACUGGUUUCGGAGCGCAGCACAAGUCGCACUCUCUAUCAGCAAAGGUCUAGCAUCCAUUAAGCCUUUUUUUCAACUUUUGACCUCGGAUCAGGUAGGGAUACCCGCUGAACUUAAGCAUAUCA